rnacentral:rRNA from 1 species
AUUGAACGCUGGCGGCAGGCCUAACCUAUGCAAGUCGACCGAGUGGCGGACGGGUGAGUAAUGUCUGGGAAAUUGCCCGAUGGAGGGGGAUAACUACUGGAAACGGUAGCUAAUACCGCAUACCAUCGGAUGUGCCCAUAUGGGAUUGGCUAGUAGUUGGGGUACCGGCUCACCUAGGCGACGAUCCCUAGCUGGUCUGAGGGGAGAACCAGCCACACUGGAGUUGAGACACGGUCAAUCCUCCUACGGGAGGCAGCAGUGGGGAAUAUUGCACAAUGGGCGCAAGCCUGAUGCAGCCAUGCCGCGUGUAUGAGGAAGGCCGUCGGGUUGUAAAGUACUUUCAGCGAGGAGGCGUUACUCGCAGAAGAAGCACCGGCUAACUCCGUGCCAGCAGCCGCGGUAAUUC